UGGGGAAUCUUGCGCAAUGGGGGCAACCCUGACGCAGCCACGCCGCGUGGAGGAAGACACCCCUAUGGGGCGUAAACUCCUUUUCUGUCGGAAGAAAACCCUGUUUUGCAGGGCCUGACGGUACGACAGGAAUAAGCACCGGCUAACUCCGUGCCAGCAGCCGCGGUAAUACGGAGGGUGCAAGCGUUGUCCGGAAUUACUGGGCGUAAAGGGUGUGCAGGCGGGACAGCAAGUCAGCGGUGAAAUACUGCGGCUCAACCGCAGAAGUGCCGUUGUAACUGUUGUUCUUGAGUCCUAGAGAGGUCGCUGGAAUUCGUGGUGUAGCGGUGAAAUGCGUAGAUAUCACGAGGAACACCAGAGGCGUAAGCGAGCGACUAGAUAGGUACUGACGCUGAGGCACGAAAGCGUGGGGAGCAAACAGGAUUAGAUACCCCCGUAGUCC
rnacentral:rRNA from 1 species